CCUACGGGAGGCAGCAGUGGGGAAUAUUGGUCAAUGGGCGCAAGCCUGACCCAGCAACGCCGCGUGAAGGAAGACGGCUUUCGGGUUGGUAACUCUUUUUUACAGGGGAGCGUAGAAGACGGUACCUGUCGAAUAAGCCACUGCUAACUACGUGCAAGCAGCCGCGGUAAUACGUAGGUGGCACGGUUUGUCCGGAUUUACUGGGUGUAAAGGGCGUGUAGCCGGGUUGACAAGUCAGAUGUGAAAUCCUGCGGCUUAACCGCAGAACUGCAUGUGAAACUGUUGAUCUUGAGUACUGGAGAGGCAGACGGAAUGCGUAGUGUAGCGGUGAAAUGCGUAGAUAUUAGGCAGAACACCAGUGGCGAAGGCAGUCUGCUGGACAGCAACUGACGGUGAGGCGCGAAAGCGUGGGGAGCGAACAGGAUUAGAUACCCUAGUAGUC
rnacentral:rRNA from 1 species